rnacentral:rRNA from 1 species
GAACGCACCUUGCGCCUUUUGGUAUUCCGAAAGGCAUGCCUGUUUGAGUGUCAUGAAAUCUCAAUCCCCCCGGGUUUUCUGAACCCGAGGUGGACUUGGACAUGGGUGUCUGCCGUCUUGUACGGCUCGCCUUAAAUGACUCAGUGGGAUCUUCAGCAUCCGUGGCAGACGUAAUAAGUUUCGUCUCGUCCCUUGCUGUGAGGACCGCUCAUAACCUGCCAUCGCGCACCACUUUUGACUCUGACCUCAAAUCAGGUAGGACUACCCGCUGAACUUAAGCAUAUCAAUAAGCGGAGGAAAAGAAACUAACAAGGAUUCCCCUAGUAACGGCGAGUGAACCGGGAAAAGCUCAAAUUUGAAAUCUGGCGUCCUCAGGGCGUCCGAGUUGUAAUCUAUAGAAGCGUUUUCCGUGCCGGACCGUGUCCAAGUCCCUUGGAACAGGGUAUCAAAGAGGGUGACAAUCCCGUACUUGACACGACUACCGGUGCUCUGUGAUACGUUUUCUACGAGUCGAGUUGUUUGGGAAUGCAGCUCAAAAUGGGUGGUGAGUUCCAUCUAAAGCUAAAUAUUGGCGAGAGACCGAUAGCGAACAAGUACCGUGAGGGAAAGAUGAAAAGCACUUUGGAAAGAGAGUUAAACAGUACGUGAAAUUGUUGAAAGGGAAACGAUUGAAGUCAGUCGUGACCGAGAGGCUCAGCCGGCUCUGCCGGUGUAUUCCCCUCGGUCGGGUCAACAUCAGUUUUGUCCGGUGGAUAAGGGCGGUAGGAAGGUGGCACCCACGGGUGUGUUAUAGCCUGCCGUCGCAUACACUGGGUGAGACUGAGGAAUGCAGCUCGCCUUUAUGGCCGGGGUUCGCCCACGUCCGAGCUAGG